rnacentral:rRNA from 1 species
UACGAAGGGGGCGAGCGUUGUUCGGAUUUAUUGGGCGUAAAGAGCGUGUAGGCGGCCAGGUAGGUCUGGUGUGAAAACUCGAGGCUUAACCUCGAGAUGUCAUCGGAAACCAUCUGGCUAGAGUCCGGAAGAGGAGAGUGGAAUUCCUGGUGUAGCGGUGAAAUGCGCAGAUAUCAGGAAGAACACCAAUGGCGAAAGCAGCUCUCUGGGACGGUACUGACGCUGAGACGCGAAAGCGUGGGGAGCGAACAGG